rnacentral:rRNA from 1 species
GGAUAACCUGCCCUAUCGUCUGGAAUAACCUCGGGAAACUGAGAAUAAGGCCGGAUAGUUCACAAAGCCUGGAACGGUUUGUGAAUCAAGGUAGGAUGGGUCUGCGGCGUAUCAGGUAGUAGGGGGUGUAAAGGACCCCCUAGCCUUCGACGCGUACGGGUGUUGGGAGACAUAGCCCGGAGAUGGAUUCUGAGACACGAAUCCAGACCCUACGGGGUGCAGCAGGCGCGAAAACUUCACACUGCAGGAAACUGUGAUGAGGGAACUCCAAGUGUGUGUGCACUAUGUGUACACUUUUAUGAACUUUUAAUCGGUUCAGGAAUAAGGGCUGGGAAAGACCGGUGCCAGCCGCCGCGGUAAUACCGGCAGCUCAAGUGGUCGUCGCUUUUAUUGGGCCUAAAACGUCCGUAGCCUGUUUGGUAAAUCUGUGGGUAAAUCAACUCGCUCAACGAGUUGAAUUCUGCAGAGACUGCCAGACUAGGGACCGGGAGAGGUGUGGGGUACUCGAGGGGUAGGGGUAAAAUCCUGUCAUCCUUCGAGGACCACCAGUUGCGAAGGCGCCACACUGGAACGGAUCCGACGGUCAGGGACGAAGCCUAGGGGCACGAACCGGAUUAGAUACCCGGGUAGUCCUAGGUGUAAACGCUGUGAACUUGGUGUCGGGGGUCCGCAAGGGGUCCCCGGUGCCGGAGUGAAGAUGUUAAGUUCACUGCCUGGGGAGUACGGUCGCAAGGCUGAAACUU